rnacentral:rRNA from 1 species
CCGACUGCUAUUUGGGGUGAGAAUAAGCCAUGCGAGUUGAGUGGAAUACCUAAACUUUCCAUAGCAAACUGCUCAGUAACACAUGAUCAACUUACCCUAUAGAGAAAAAUAACCUCGGGAAACUGAGGAUAAUGUUUCAUAGUUGAAAAGGCUUGGAAAAGUUUUUCAAUCAAAAGGAUAAAAAAAAUGGUUUUUAUCCGCUAUAGGAUAGGAUCGUGGUCGAUUAUGGUUGUUGGUGAGGUAAUGGCUCACCAAGCCGAUAAUCGAUAGGGGCCGUGAGAGCGGGAGCCCCGAGAUGGGUACUGAGACAACGACCCAGGCCUUACGAGGCGCAGCAGGCGCGAAACCUCCGCAAUACACGAAAGUGUGACGGGGUUACCCAAAGUGUUCAAUUUUGAACUGUGGUAGGUGAGUAAUGUUCCCUACUAGAAAGGAGAGGGCAAGGCUGGUGCCAGCCGCCGCGGUAAAACCAGCUCUUCAAGUGGUCGGGAUAAUUAUUGGGCUUAAAGUGUCCGUAGUCGGUUUAGUAAGUUCCUGGUAAAAUCGGGUAGCUUAACUAUCUGUAUGCUAGGAAUACUGCUAAACUAGAGGGCGGGAGAGGUCUGAGGUACUACAGGGGUAGGGGUGAAAUCUUAUAAUCCUUGUAGGACCACCAGUGGCGAAGGCGUCAGACUGGAACGUGCCUGACGGUGAGGGACGAAAGCCAGGGGAGCGAACCGGAUUAGAUACCCGGGUAGUCCUGGCCGUAAACGAUGCAUACUAGGUGAUGGCAUGGCCAUGAGCCGUGUCAGUGCCGUAGGGAAACCGUUAAGUAUGCCGCCUGGGAAGUACGGUCGCAAGGCUAAAACUUAA